rnacentral:rRNA from 1 species
GCCUACGGGACGCAGCAGUGGGGAAUAUUGCACAAUGGGGGGAACCCUGAUGCAGCGACGCCGCGUGGGUGAAGGAGCACCUCGGUGCGUAAAGCCCUAUCGGCAGGGGAGAAACAGACGGUACCUGACUAAGAAGCCCCGGCUAACUACGUGCCAGCAGCCGCGGUAAUACGUAGGGGGCAAGCGUUAUCCGGAUUCACUGGGUGUAAAGAGAGCGUAGACGGCGACGCAAGUCUGGAGUGCAAGCCCGGGGCCCAACCCCGGGCCUGCUCUGGAAACUGCGG